AGAUACACCUGGCCAGAAUCAUACGCCGUAGCUAUGUGGGCGUGGAGCUGGUGCAGUGGCUGUGUGAGCAGUGCAUGUAUGUGCGCUGUCGGACCACUGCUGUGCGCGUCUGGCAGGUGCUGCUGGAGCUGGGAGUCCUGCUGUCUGUGGACCAGCGUGUGGU